rnacentral:rRNA from 1 species
GAUGAACGCUAGCGGGAGGCUUAACACAUGCAAGUCGAGCGGGAUUAGCAGCAAUGCUAUGAGAGCGGCGCACGGGUGCGUAACGCGUAUGCAACCUGCCUUAUGCAGGGGGAUAGCCCAUGGAAACGUGGAUUAAUACCCCAUAGAAUAUGUGAGUCGCAUGGUUUACAUAUUAAAACUUCGGUGGCAUAAGAUGGGCAUGCGUAGGAUUAGCUAGUUGGUGAGGUAACGGCUCACCAAGGCAACGAUCCUUAGGGGUUCUGAGAGGAUUACCCCCCA